rnacentral:rRNA from 1 species
AGUGAACGCUGGCGGUAGGCCUAACACAUGCAAGUCGAACGGCAGCACAGUAAGAGCUUGCUCUUACGGGUGGCGAGUGGCGGACGUGUGAGGAAUACAUCGGAAUCUACUUUUUCGUGGGGGAUAACGUAGGGAAACUUACGCUAAUACCGCAUACGACCUACGGGUGAAAGCAGGGGAUCUUCGGACCUUGCGCGAUUGAAUGAGCCGAUGUCGGAUUAGCUAGUUGGCGGGGUAAAGGCCCACCAAGGCGACGAUCCGUAGCUGGUCUGAGAGGAUGAUCAGCCACACUGGAACUGAGACACGGUCCAGACUCCUACGGGAGGCAGCAGUGGGGAAUAUUGGACAAUGGGCGCAAGCCUGAUCCAGCCAUACCGCGUGGGUGAAGAAGGCCUUCGGGUUGUAAAGCCCUUUUGUUGGGAAAGAAAAGCAGCAGGUUAAUACCCCGCUGUUCUGACGGUACCCAAGGAAUAAGCACCGGCUAACUUCGUG